rnacentral:lncRNA from 1 species
CCCUCGGCAGGGCAGGGGAGGCCGUCGCGCUGCAGAGCUCCAGUCCCGACAGCUCCUGCCCGGGUCUGUCUGCGCCACC